CGCAUCCUUGAUCCAGGGGAGCGACCGGCUCUAUGAUCGUUUAGUGAGACCGUGCUGCUGACACCCGUAUGGAAAUUACCCGUGCCCGGCGCCCAAGGGCGUCGAGCACAAUUUUUGGACGU